rnacentral:rRNA from 1 species
GGUUACUGCUAUCGGUGUUCGCCUAAGCCAUGCGAGUCAUAUGUUCUUCGGAACAUGGCGUACUGCUCAGUAACACGUGGAUAACCUGCCCUUGGGUCCGGCAUAACCCCGGGAAACUGGGAAUAAUUCCGGAUAACGCACAUAUGCUGGAAUGCUUUAUGCGUCAAAUGGAUUCGUCCGCCCAAGGAUGGGUCUGCGGCCUACCAGGUAGUAGUGGGUGUAAUGUACCUACUAGCCUACGACGGGUACGGGUUGUGAGAGCAAGAGCCCGGAGAUGGAUUCUGAGACAUGAAUCCAGGCCCUACGGGGCGCAGCAGGCGCGAAAACUUUACAAUGCGGGAAACCGUGAUAAGGGGACACCGAGUGCCAGCAUCAUAUGCUGGCUGUCCGGGUGUGUAAAAUACACCUGUUAGCAAGGGCCGGGCAAGACCGGUGCCAGCCGCCGCGGUAACACCGGCGGCCCGAGUGGUGAUCGUGAUUAUUGGGUCUAAAGGGUCCGUAGCCGGUUUGGUCAGUCCUCCGGGAAAUCUGACGGCUUAACCGUUAGGCUUUCGGGGGAUACUGCCAGACUUGGAACCGGGAGAGGUAAGAGGUACUACAGGGGUAGGAGUGAAAUCUUGUAAUCCCUGUGGGACCACCUGUGGCGAAGGCGUCUUACCAGAACGGGUUCGACGGUGAGGGACGAAAGCUGGGGGCACGAACCGGAUUAGAUACCCGGGUAGUCCCAGCCGUAAACGAUGCUCGCUAGGUGUCAGGCAUGGCGCGACCGUGUCUGGUGCCGCAGGGAAGCCGUGAAGCGAGCCACCUGGGAAGUACGGCCGCAAGGCUGAAACUUAA